rnacentral:rRNA from 1 species
UACAGAGGUCUCAAGCGUUGUUCGGAAUUAUUGGGCGUAAAGGGUGCGUAGGCGGCAGGGUAAGUUAGAUGUGAAAUACCGGUGCUUAACAUCGGAAUUGCAUUUAAGACUGCCUUGCUUGAGCAUUAGAGAGGAGACUGGAAUUUACGGUGUAGCAGUGAAAUGCGUAGAUAUCGUAAGGAAGACCAGUGGCGAAAGCGAGUCUCUGGCUAAAUGCUGACGCUGAGGCACGAAAGCUGGGGGAGCAAACGGG